rnacentral:rRNA from 1 species
UGGUAAUACCGGAUGCUCCGCUCCAUCGCAUGGUGGGGUGGGAAAUGCUUUUGCGGCAUGGGAUGGGGUCGCGUCCUAUCAGCUUGUUGGCGGGGUGAUGGCCCACCAAGGCGUUGACGGGUAGCCGGCCUGAGAGGGUGACCGGCCACAUUGGGACUGAGAUACGGCCCAGACUCCUACGGGAGGCAGCAGUGGGGAAUAUUGCACAAUGGGCGCAAGCCUGAUGCAGCGACGCCGCGUGCGGGAUGGAGGCCUUCGGGUUGUAAACCGCUUUUGUUCAAGGGCAAGGCACGGUUUCGGCCGUGUUGAGUGGAUUGUUCGAAUAAGCACCGGCUAACUACGUGCCAGCAGCCGCGGUAAUACGUAGGGUGCGAGCGUUAUCCGGAUUUAUUGGGCGUAAAGGGCUCGUAGGCGGUUCGUCGCGUCCGGUGUGAAAGUCCAUCGCCUAACGGUGGAUCUGCGCCGGGUACGGGCGGGCUGGAGUGCGGUAGGGGAGACUGGAAUUCCCGGUGUAACGGUGGAAUGUGUAGAUAU